rnacentral:rRNA from 1 species
GUGGGGAAUCUUAGACAAUGGGCGCAAGCCUGAUCUAGCCAUGCCGCGUGAGCGAUGAAGGCCUUAGGGUUGUAAAGCUCUUUCGUGGGGGAAGAUAAUGACUGUACCACAAGAAGAAGCCCCGGCUAACUCCGUGCCAGCAGCCGCGGUAAUACGGAGGGGGCUAGCGUUGUUCGGAAUUACUGGGCGUAAAGCGCACGUAGGCGGACUGGAAAGUCAGGGGUGAAAUCCCGGGGCUCAACCCCGGAACUGCCUUUGAAACUCCCAGUCUUGAGUUCGAGAGAGGUGAGUGGAAUUCCGAGUGUAGAGGUGAAAUUCGUAGAUAUUCGGAGGAACACCAGUGGCGAAGGCGGCUCACUGGCUCGAUACUGACGCUGAGGUGCGAAAGCGUGGGGAGCAAACAGGAUUAGAUACCCGAGUAGUCC